AUUGCAGCCUGCAACUCGGCUGCAUGAAGCUGGAAUCGCUAGUAAUCGCGGAUCAGAAUGCCGCGGUGAAUACGUUCCCGGGCCUUGUACACACCGCCCGUCACACCAUGAGAGUCGGGAACACCCGAAGUCCGUAGCCUAACUUUAACGAGGGGGCGCGGCCGAAGGUGGGUUCGAUAAUUGGGGUGAAGUCGUAACAAGGUAGC
rnacentral:rRNA from 1 species